rnacentral:rRNA from 1 species
UCAACGCUGGCGGCGUGCCUCAGACAUGCAAGUCGAACGAUUAAAGCUCUCUUCGGAGAGUGCAUAAAGUGGCGCACGGGUGAGUAACACGUAAGUAAUCUACCUUCGAGUGGGGAAUAACGUCCGGAAACGGACGCUAAUACCGCAUAAUGCAGCGGCACCUAAUGGUGACAGUUGUUAAAGAAUUUAUUCGCUUGAAGAGGAGCUUGCGGCAGAUUAGCUAGUUGGUAAGGUAAUGGCUUACCAAGGCUUCGAUCUGUAACCGGUCUAAGAGGACGGUCGGUCACACUGACACUGAAUAACGGGUCAGACUCCUACGGGAGGCAGCAGUCGGGAAUUUUGGGCAAUGGGCGAAAGCCUGACCCAGCAACGCCGCGUGAAGGAUGAAGUAUUUCGGUAUGUAAACUUCGAAAGAAUGGGAAGAAUCAAUGACGGUACCAUUUAUAAGGUCCGGCUAACUACGU